GGAGGGAUGGCCGAGAGGCUGAAGGCAGCGGUUUGCUAAACCGCCAUACGAUCGAAAGUUCGUAUCGAGGGUUCGAAUCCCUCUUCCUCCGCCA
rnacentral:tRNA from 1 species